rnacentral:tRNA from 2 species
AGGAGUGUAGCUCAACUGGCAGAGCACCGGUCUCCAAAACCGGGGGUUGGGGGUUCGACUCCCUCCACUCCUGCCA